AAACAGCCGACGUUGCGGCAUGCGGGAUCUUUAGUUGUGGUGUGUGAAUUCUUAGUUGCAGCAACUAAAGAUCCCUCAGGCUGCAAUGAAGAUCAGA
ensembl:miRNA